CUCUACAGGGCCUUAGAUUUAAUCAGAUACAGGCAUUGCAUUACAUUACGAGAAAAAGUAAAUGUUUGAACAUUAUUAGGAGGCCUUAUAUUAAUAUAGAUGACAUCAUCUGCAACAUUGUACCAAACAGUAUCAUUCUCAGGGCCCGGCCCGUUCGAGAGCUCCGGCCGUCUGAAAGGAGGCUUGUGUUUGAAGCGGAGCCACACCUCUCUCACGGGAAACUUCACACGCGUCUAAAUCACGCAGUUAAAUGUGAUCUGGACAUGUUUUGAUGAGAUUCAUCAUCCAUGUGCGUGUAAAUGUUUUCAGCUGCAUGAGCGUGUAUGAGAAUGGAUGUUUCGGGAGAAUCUGGAGCGGUGAACGUCCCACCAGACAAGCCGAACAUAAAUAAACUGAGCUGGUGCUUUUGCUGAGGAGCGAAAGACACAGAUGGAUGGAAAGAAGAGAAAGAAAGAAAGACGGGGCUGGUUCGGGGGUGAAGGGUCAGACAGCAGCUUUAUGGGCCGUGCCUCACGCUUCACCAGACCAAACUAUCCAAACCGGCACAGAGAAACUAAUAGGCAGAUGUCUGGAAUGUUCCACAGAUGGAGAUCAGACUCAGCCUGCACUUCUGUCCUGUGCUGACAAAAUCAUUUGAAGUCGAGGGUCAGAUCGGACUAAACUCCAUCAGACAUGCAUUAACUAACUGAACGUUAUUACUGGAGUUAAAUCUGAAUUAGAUAAUAAAAGAUUUGUUUCAAUUACAUAAUAACUGCACAUUCGACAAAUACUGGUGAUAUAUGAUGCCUUUUAUUAGACAGGACAAUU